GACAUACUCCCUCCGUUCGAAAUUACUUGUCGCAGAAAUGGAUGUAUCUAGACGUAUUUUAAUUCUAGAUACAUCCAUUUUCGAGACAAGUAAUUCCAAACGGAGAGAGUAUUUC
rnacentral:pre_miRNA from 1 species